rnacentral:rRNA from 1 species
UACGUAGGGUGCAAGCGUUGUCCUGAAUUAUUGGGCGUAAAGAGCUCGUAGGCGGUUUGUCGCGUCGAAUGUGAAAACCCGGGGCUCAACCCCGGGCCUGCAUUCGAUACGGGCAGACUAGAGUUCGGUAGGGGAGUCUGGAAUUCCUGGUGUAGCGGUGAAAUGCGCAGAUAUCAGGAGGAACACCGGUGGCGAAGGCGGGACUCUGGGCCGAUACUGACGCUGAGGAGCGAAAGCGUGGGGAGCGAACAGG